AGAGUUUGAUCCUGGCUCAGGACGAACGCUGGCGGCGUGCUUAACACAUGCAAGUCGAACGGAAAGGCCCUUCGGGGUACUCGAGUGGCGAACGGGUGAGUAACACGUGGGUGAUCUGCCCUGCACUUUGGGAUAAGCCUGGGAAACUGGGUCUAAUACCGAAUAGGACCGCGCUCUUCAUGGGGUGUGGUGGAAAGCUUUUGCGGUGUGGGAUGGGCCCGCGGCCUAUCAGCUUGUUGUGGGGUAAUGGCCUACCAAGGCGACGACGGGUAGCCGGCCUGAGAGGGUGACCGGCCACACUGGGACUGAGAUACGGCCCAGACUCCUACGGGAGGCAGCGGUGGGGAAUAUUGCACAAUGGGCGCAAGCCUGAUGCAGCGACGCCGCGUGAGGGAUGACGGCCUUCGGGUUGUAAACCUCUUUCAGUAGGGACGAAGCGCAAGUGACGGUACCUAUAGAAGAAGGACCGGCCAACUACGUG
rnacentral:rRNA from 1 species